CCCACUUUUCUCACUCCCACAUUCAACACCUGCAGGUGCUGCAUGAGAUAAAUAAAUGCCUACUAUUUUAAGAGGCGAAGUUUUGGCAUAAUGUGCUUCGAAACUGUAACUCGUACAGCCUUUGUCAGCUAUUCUCACUCAGUGUGGAAUGUGCCUCCCAGUGGUUUCGCGUUCAUUGCUGAUUUAGAGUUCGGACUGGCCACUGGCUGUUGGGCUGUGUGGAAUCAUGCGAGGAUCGGUGCAAGAGCAUGGGGAGUCGUGGCGCUGCGCAGCUGCACGGAGGGGAGGAAUGUUUUUUGUUCCCGAAAGAUGGCCUGUUGAGAGAUUGCAAGGAUGAAACAUUUGGGACCACACUGAGGCAGAUACCAGUUCAGAUCUAAUAAAUGAAUCACUGUGGGAUGUGAAGAGGUCCCGGUCCAUGAUCAGAAGGUCUCGUACAUCACUUGACUUUGCCACUAGCUCUUCCCCCCAUGUUAAGCAGACUCCCGACUCAUGUCCCUGACUGUUCUGCUGAGCGUGGGCCUUCUUGGGGUGAGGUCCGCAGCACCCCAGCCAUGGUCUGUCUUGCUUGCCAAUGCAAGGGAGCUCUUUAAUUAUCAUCAAACACCACCGUUUAUUCAUCCCUCUAACAUUCAUUGUCUGUUCUGUGCCAGGAACCAUGCUGAGUGGUUGGUGGAAAUGAGGCAGCGGAGUGGGGAAGAAAGACAAAUAAACAAGUGAAAUUUA